GACGAACGCUGGCGGCGUGCUUAACACAUGCAAGUCGGACGGAAAGGCCCUGCUUUUGUGGGGUGCUCGAGUGGCGAACGGGUGAGUAACACGUGAGUAACCUGCCCUUGACUUUGGGAUAACUUCAGGAAACUGGGGCUAAUACCGGAUAGGAGCUCCUGCUGCAUGGUGGGGGUUGGAAAGUUUCGGCGGUUGGGGAUGGACUCGCGGCUUAUCAGCUUGUUGGUGGGGUAGUGGCUUACCAAGGCUUUGACGGGUAGCCGGCCUGAGGGGGUGACCGGCAACAUUGGGACGGCGGGGAGGCGCAGCAUCCUACGGGGGGAGGCAGUGGGGAAGAUUGCACAAUGGGGGGCGGGAGGAUGCAGCAGCGCCGCGGGGGGGAUGAAGGCUGCCGGGUUGUAGAGAGCUUCCGCUCGCGAAGAAGCGUCAGUGACGGUAACGGGUAAAGAAGCACCGGCUAACUCCGUG
rnacentral:rRNA from 1 species